GAAACUCUCAAAUCGAGGUAGUUUUUACGGCUGUCUCUGUUUGGAUUUGGACUCUGCUGCAUUAAUGUGGCUAGUCUUAAAUGUAUUAGCUGGUCCUCAUUGAGGUUUGGUUCUACUCGGCGUGAUAAUUAUCUAACGUUGAGGACAGUCUUCAGGACUGGCCAUGGCUCUCUGUCUGGAUUGCUUCUAAAUUGUCCUGGGGACAAUUCAUUCAAU
rnacentral:misc_RNA from 1 species